rnacentral:rRNA from 1 species
AUUGAACGCUGGCGGAAUGCUUUACACAUGCAAGUCGAACGGCAGCACGGACUUCGGUCUGGUGGCGAGUGGCGAACGGGUGAGUAAUACAUCGGAACGUGCCCAGUCGUGGGGGAUAACGUAGCGAAAGCUACGCUAAUACCGCAUACGAUCUAAGGAUGAAAGCGGGGGAUCGCAAGACCUCGCGCGAUUGGAGCGGCCGAUGGAGGAUUAGGUAGUUGGUAGGGUAAAGGCCUACCAAGCCGACGAUCUGUAGCUGGUCUGAGAGGACGACCAGCCACACUGGGACUGAGACACGGCCCAGACUCCUACGGGAGGCAGCAGUGGGGAAUUUUGGACAAUGGACGCAAGUCUGAUCCAGCCAUUCCGCGUGCAGGAUGAAGGCCCUCGGGUUGUAAACUGCUUUUGUACAGAACGAAAAGGCUCUGGUUAAUACCUGGAGCUCAUGACGGUACUGUAAGAAUAAGCACCGGCUAACUACGUGCCAGCCGCCGCGGUAA